CUGUUUUAGAGUACAGCAACACUACGACAAACUACAAUAAAAAUCAGCUGUUUAUGACUCAAGGAUUUAGUUCUACAGUUGUUUUGAUUUGAAGCUAAUCAAAACUAUUGUUUUUGUUAUAUAUAGACCUAAGAUCUAUAACAAAUAAUUCAAUUAAUAUAUGCCUUUAAUAUUUCUAUAGAAAACAAUGCCUUCCUCUUCAAAAAAAUGUGUUGUAGUCACAGGUUUUGGCCCUUUCAAAGGUCACAAAGUAAAUGCAAGUUGGGUCUCUGUUCAAGAGCUGUACAACUUAGGUCUUGGCGAUGAUGUUGAACUUGUAAUCCAAGAAAUCCCUGUGGUGUACACUAAAGUGCAAAAUAUAAUUCCAGAAUUGUGGGAGAAAUAUAAACCUGUGUUGAUGGUCCAUGUAGGUGUAUCUAGUGUGGCUAAUGAACUGACCCUUGAACAGCGAGCUCAUAAUGAUGGUUAUUCAAGGGAUGAUGUGCAUGGACAGGUCCCUCCUUCUAACAUGUGUGUGGACGGAAGCUGUGAGGACAUCAUUGUCUCUGGUAUCAACAUGUCCCUGGUGUGUGAGGAGGUCAACCACUCCAGCCUGAAAGUUUGCUCUGUGGUGUCACAGGAUCCUGGCAGGUAUCUUUGUGAUUUCACCUACUAUCAAUCAUUGCAUAUCAAUAAAAACUGCACAGCUUUCAUACAUGUCCCUCCUUUGGAUGCCCCCUACACUGCUCGAGAGUUAGCUGAAGGGUUGAAGGUUGCUAUAUGUUCCAUGCUGAAACAGUUAUGCUUAUAACAUUCAUGUUCACAUUUUUCUUAUUUUGCAACCAAAUAUUUUUUAAAAUUUUGAUACCGUUGAAUAUGUAAAACCUUGUUGAAGCUUAUCUAUCACCUCUGGGUUUUUUUUGGCAGAUUAUUAUCAUAAUUUUUAAAGUUUUUUUUUUUAGGUAUUGUUUUAAAAUCCAUUUUGUUUUCUAAGUGAACAUAGCAGAUUAUGAUUUUAAAAAUACAUAUUGUGAGACAAAAGCUGCAGGGUAUGCUUCAUUAUGCUGAUGUUGUGUGUUUAUGUAACCCACCAGUCCAGUCCCCUUGGACAUCCACUGGAUUUUGUUGCCGAGUUAAAACCAGAUUUGGAUAUUUUUGUAACUCUUUAUUGUUGAGCUAAGUGUCACUGGCUGCUGUAAUGUGAUGUUGCUAUGUGUAUUUUUUAAAUGUUUAUCUACAUGCUUUAAAAAUGUUAAGCAGAUAAUGAUGAUGCAUUCAGUAUUUCAUAAUCAGCAUCAUUUUUGGUGUUUUUUUUUUCUUUAAUUUAAUGGCUGUGUUUUAUAAUUUAAAAAUCUACAUGUAUCAAAAAACAAAUAUAAAUAAUCCAUAUCUUAACAGUCUUUGAAACAAUCUUCAUCAUGAGGUCAAGUGUUUGGCUUGUUAUCUCUAAGAACACAUAAGCUCUUGUCAUCAUUAAUAUUGAGACAAGCUAUGGUUUCAACUGUCAGAAAUUUUCAGCAGUUUAGUCUUCCAUUCCUAUUAAUUUUUAGUUCAUCUAAAAAGAUAUUAAACCAAGUAGGGAAAACUAAAAUACAACGUGUCUCACAAAGGUUGAAAUGUUUGCAAAAGUCUGGUUUUCUUCAAAUUGUAAUCACAGAAAUUACAGCUUGCUAUUUGAAAAACCAGAAUUGUUCAAUAGUUAUACGAUUAAAGCUGUUAAAUGUCAAGUUUUUAAGGUACAGGUAAAAUACUCUCCAAAAUACUCCUACACUUCUGUUGGCCAUGGUAAAAAUAUUUAGUUGUUAUCUCUGUGAAAUUAAUGCCUUUGUGUAAUCAAUUUUUCUACUGAUCAUUGUACUUUUUUUUGUAGUUCAUAAUAGAAAGCUUAAUAACACUGGCAUAAUAUUAAUUUAGUUGUAUUUCAGUUAUUUUAAUCAUUAAAUAAUAAUGAACAACAAAAUAAUUUCAGAUAUUAUCCUUAAGGGAGUUUAAUAUUACACUUUUAUUUAUGAAAAUGCAUAUUUCAAUUUGUUUUUAAUUAUUGUAUUAUUCAGGGACUAUUUUUUAAAUUUUUAACCAGAAGAGUAGUCUGAUAUUAUUUAUCAAGAAUUGAAGAUGUCAUUUAGGGAUUAAUGAUUCUUAUUUUUCUCUCUCCUUUUGAUGCAAUAAUUAUCUUAAAAACUUACAUUGGAAAUUUCCAUUUGUUUUUACCAUAUGAAAUUAUAUUUACUAUUUUUACAUGUCCCGAUGUGUUUACACAUGAAACGACUCCUAUCAUUACUGUUGAUAUCAGUUUGCCCCAGACCAACAGAGCUUUCACAAAUAGAAAGAAAGGUCCUGUUUCAUUUUGUUUCAGCUUUCUACCUUCUGAAAAAUGAUGUAUUUAUGUUAGAGGCAGAAUUUGCAGUUAUAAUAGUGUCCAGCAAUAGUUAAGCAAAUCUACUUUUUAAAAGUUGGAAUAUUAGGAUGGACUUAUCAGUUAUUGAUCCCCCUAGCAAAUCUUUACAAAAAACAUAGCAUAUACAAAAAUUACAUUGUAAGCUGCGAUCUUUUAACAUGUAAUGGAAUUGUAGCAUAAUCUAAUCAAAGUGUAGCAUAAUCUAAUCAAAGUGUUACACUGCAUUUCAUGUACCUUCCUUUAACAUACAAUUAUAAAUUUAUUUACCCAACAAUUUCAAAUUGUAUUUAUGUAAUUCUUUGAGAUUAAAAAAAAAGAUAAAAAGCAAUAUUCAAACAUGAAAUGUGAGACCAAUUUUUUCUUAUUGUUACUAUUUUAAGAUACAAUAUAUAGGUAUAUCUAGAAUUUAAAGAUGUAAAAGUAUAUUUUUCUGAUUAAAAAUUUAAUGUGCUGUUCAAUGGUAAAAUUUUAUUUUCUGAUUGUUUUUAAUAAAAAAAAUUCCUAAACAAGUCUGUGGGUUUUGUGUACUUGAAUAGCGUUUGAAGUUGAGAAAAAUUAAAUGUUUAAAGUGGUGCAAUUUAAGCUGUUUGGAAACUUGUAGUCCUAGGUUUUCUAUCUCUGACAACUUGUAGCAAAAUGUAGAUAUCCCAGUCAAUAGGUCUGCAGUACCACACUUUAGCUUUGUAACAACUAUUGGUACCAUUCAAUUGACUCAAUUGAAAGUGAUUCACAUUUAAGAGAAAAACAGAAAAUUAACAAGGAACUCAAAUACAUUGUAAUAGU